AACGUAGGACACAAGCGUUAUCCGGAGUUACUGGGCGUAAAGGGCGCGUAGGCGGUCAGCACAAGUCAGUUGUGAAAUCUCCGGGCUUAACUCGGAAAGGUCAACUGAUACUGUGCGACUAGAGUGCAGAAGGGGCAAUCGGAAUUCUUGGUGUAGCGGUGAAAUGCGUAGAUAUCAAGAGGAACACCUGAGGUGAAGACGGGUUGCUGGGCUGACACUGACGCUGAGGCGCGAAAGCUAGGGUAGCAAACGGG
rnacentral:rRNA from 1 species